rnacentral:rRNA from 1 species
AGUUCGAACGCACAGCGAAAGGUGCUUGCACCUUUCAAGUGAGUGGCGAACGGGUGAGUAACACGUGGACAACCUGCCUCAAGGCUGGGGAUAACAUUUGGAAACAGAUGCUAAUACCGAAUAAAACUUAGUGUCGCAUGACACAAAGUUAAAAGGCGCUUCGGCGUCACCUAGAGAUGGAUCCGCGGUGCAUUAGUUAGUUGGUGGGGUAAAGGCCUACCAAGACAAUGAUGCAUAGCCGAGUUGAGAGACUGAUCGGCCACAUUGGGACUGAGACACGGCCCAAACUCCUACGGGAGGCUGCAGUAGGGAAUCUUCCACAAUGGGCGAAAGCCUGAUGGAGCAACGCCGCGUGUGUGAUGAAGGCUUUCGGGUCGUAAAGCACUGUUGUAUGGGAAGAACAGCUAGAAUAGGAAAUGAUUUUAGUUUGACGGUACCAUACCAGAAAGGGACGGCUAAAUACGUGCCAGCAGCCGCGGUAAUACGUAUGUCCCGAGCGUUAUCCGGAUUUAUUGGGCGUAAAGCGAGCGCAGACGGUUUAUUAAGUCUGAUGUGAAAGCCCGGAGCUCAACUCCGGAAUGGCAUUGGAAACUGGUUAACUUGAGUGCAGUAGAGGUAAGUGGAACUCCAUGUGUAGCGGUGGAAUGCGUAGAUAUAUGGAAGAACACCAGUGGCGAAGGCGGCUUACUGGACUGCAACUGACGUUGAGGCUCGAAAGUGUGGGUAGCAAACAGGAUUAGAUACCCUGGUAGUCCACACCGUAAACGAUGAACACUAGGUGUUAGGAGGUUUCCGCCUCUUAGUGCCGAAGCUAACGCAUUAAGUGUUCCGCCUGGGGAGUACGACCGCAAGGUUGAAACUCAAAGGAAUUGACGGGGACCCGCACAAGCGGUGGAGCAUGUGGUUUAAUUCGAAGCAACGCGAAGAACCUUACCAGGUCUUGACAUCCUUUGAAGCUUUUUAAGAUAGAAAUGUUCUCUUCGGAGACAAAAUGACAGGUGGGGGCAGGGGCGUCCUCCACUCCCGGCCGGAGAAGAUUGGGGGUAAAUCCCCGCACCAAAGGGACCCCUUAUUGUUUGUUUGCC